rnacentral:rRNA from 14 species
UCCUGGCUCAGAACGAACGCUGGCGGCAUGCCUAAUACAUGCAAGUCGAACGAGACCUUCGGGUCUAGUGGCGCACGGGUGCGUAACGCGUGGGAAUCUGCCCUUGGGUUCGGAAUAACGUCGGGAAACUGACGCUAAUACCGGAUGAUGACGAAAGUCCAAAGAUUUAUCGCCCAGGGAUGAGCCCGCGUAGGAUUAGCUAGUUGGUGAGGUAAAGGCUCACCAAGGCGACGAUCCUUAGCUG